rnacentral:rRNA from 1 species
GGAAUUUUGCGCAAUGGGGGAAACCCUGACGCAGCAACGCCGCGUGAGUGAUGCAGGCUUUCGGGUCGUUAAGCCCUGUCAGAGGGGAUGAAACCCUUGGAGGAUAAUACCCUCCAGGAUUGACGGUACCCCCAAAGGAAGCACCGGAUAACUCCGUGCCAGCAGCACCGGUAAUACGGAGGGUGCGAGCGUUGUUCGGAAUUAUUGGGCGUAAAGCGCGUGUAGGCGGUCUGUUAAGUCUGAUGUGAAAGCCCCGGGCUCAACCCGGGAAGUGCAUUGGAUACUGGCAGACUUGAGUACGGGAGAGGGUAGUGGAAUUUCGAGUGUAGGGGUGAAAUCCGUAGAUAUUCGAAGGAACACCGGUGGCGAAGGCGGCUACCUGGACCGAUACUGACGCUGAGACGCGAAAGCGUGGGGAGCAAAC